rnacentral:lncRNA from 1 species
AUGUGUCACACCCCGAAAUUAUCAAAGCAUUGGCGUGACUGGACUGGUAUCUUCAUUGAACAGCGGAAGCAAAAAAAGGAGAGUAAUAUUUGUGUGUAUAUUUGAGUGUAAAGAGUUCUGUGUGUUUGUGAUUUAAUUUGGAGAAGACGGAGGGUGUUUUAUAUAGAGAUUUGGGUGAGAUCUCUAGAAAUCUUGUAUGGAUUUUGUGUUUCAAAUCUUUGAGACAAAAAUCUUUAGAGAUUUUACUAGGAUUUUGGCAAGAUUUGUAAAGAUUUUAUACAGGUUUUGCAAUAUCUAGUAGAGAUCUUAAUAGGUCAAAUAUAUUAAGUGUAGGUUUAGGCUUGUGGGUUUUGGGCUUGGGCCCAGGGCCCACAAGCCCAUCUCAUGUGUAAGUGGCCCGUAAUUCCUACGAGAC